rnacentral:rRNA from 1 species
UUGAACGCUGGCGGCAGGCCUAACACAUGCAAGUCGAGCGGUAGCACAGAGAGCUUGCUCUCGGGUGACGAGCGGCGGACGGGUGAGUAAUGUCUGGGAAACUGCCUGAUGGAGGGGGAUAACUACUGGAAACGGUAGCUAAUACCGCAUAAUGUCGCAAGACCAAAGUGGGGGACCUUCGGGCCUCAUGCCAUCAGAUGUGCCCAGAUGGGAUUAGCUAGUAGGUGGGGUAACGGCUCACCUAGGCGACGAUCCCUAGCUGGUCUGAGAGGAUGACCAGCCACACUGGAACUGAGACACGGUCCAGACUCCUACGGGAGGCAGCAGUGGGGAAUAUUGCACAAUGGGCGCAAGCCUGAUGCAGCCAUGCCGCGUGUGUGAAGAAGGCCUUCGGGUUGUAAAGCACUUUCAGCGGGGAGGAAGGCGUUAAGGUUAAUAACCUUGGCGAUUGACGUUACCCGCAGAAGAAGCACCGGCUAACUCCGUGCCAGCAGCCGCGGUAAUACGGAGGGUGCAAGCGUUAAUCGGAAUUACUGGGCGUAAAGCGCACGCAGGCGGUCUGUCAAGUCGGAUGUGAAAUCCCCGGGCUCAACCUGGGAACUGCAUUCGAAACUGGCAGGCUAGAGUCUUGUAGAGGGGGGUAGAAUUCCAGGUGUAGCGGUGAAAUGCGUAGAUAUUAGGAGGAACACCAGUGGCGAAGGCGGAUUGCUGGACGACAACUGACGGUGAGGCGCGAAAGCGUGGGGAGCAAACAGGAUUAGAUACCCUGGUAGUCCACGCCGUAAACGAUGUCGAUUUGGAGGUUGUGCCCUUGAGGCGUGGCUUCCGGAGCUAACGCGUUAAAUCGACCGCCUGGGGAGUACGGCCGCAAGGUUAAAACUCAAAUGAAUUGACGGGGGCCCGCACAAGCGGUGGAGCAUGUGGUUUAAUUCGAUGCAACGCGAAGAACCUUACCUGGUCUUGACAUCCACAGAACUUUCCAGAGAUGGAUUGGUGCCUUCGGGAACUGUGAGACAGGUGCUGCAUGGCUGUCGUCAGCUCGUGUUGUGAAAUGUUGGGUUAAGUCCCGCAACGAGCGCAACCCUUAUCCUUUGUUGCCAGCGGUCCGGCCGGGAACUCAAAGGAGACUGCCAGUGAUAAACUGGAGGAAGGUGGGGAUGACGUCAAGUCAUCAUGGCCCUUACGACCAGGGCUACACACGUGCUACAAUGGCAUAUACAAAGAGAAGCGACCUCGCGAGAGCAAGCGGACCUCAUAAAGUAUGUCGUAGUCCGGAUUGGAGUCUGCAACUCGACUCCAUGAAGUCGGAAUCGCUAGUAAUCGUAGAUCAGAAUGCUACGGUGAAUACGUUCCCGGGCCUUGUACACACCGCCCGUCACACCAUGGGAGUGGGUUGCAAAAGAAGUAGGUAGCUUAACCUUCGGGAGGGCGCUUACCACUUUGUGAUUCAUGACUGGGGUG